rnacentral:rRNA from 1 species
UACGGGGGGCAAGCGUUGUUCGGAAUUACUGGCGUAAAGGUUCGUAGGUGGCCAACUAAGUCAGACGUGAAAUCCCUCGGCUUAACCUGGAACUGCGUCUGAUACUGGACGGCUUGAGUAUGGGAGAGGAACGUAGAAUUCCAGGUGUAGCGGUGAAAUGCGUAGAUAUCUGGAGGAAUACCGGUGGCGAAGGCGGCAUCCUGGACCGACAUUGACGCUGAUGCGCGAAAGCCAGGGAGCGAACGGG